GUGAGGCUGGGAAGAAGGAAGCCGGCCUUCCCUCCUAUUUGGGGCCCCAGGACUUGAACUAAUGCGUGUUCAGAAAUUCAGAGAGGGGCUGUGACCAAUCAGGUAGCCCAAGUGAGGCGUCUGUUGGCCAGACCUGGGGAUGGGGGACCGAGGAUCCGCAGACCCCGGUGGGUCGUCUCAUCCAGCUCACCGCUCUAGUCUGGCAGGAAGUCGUGGGAACCUCGCAUACGUGGCCUGUGGAAGUAAAAGUUCGCUGCAUGUUCUCUGCUGUUGGGUCGUGACAGACACCCGCGUUGGCCCUGGGAGCUCAGUUAUGGUCUCAUAGCAGCGUUCCAGCUUCAGAGAGGAACCACCAUGCUGCUUUUCCAAGGGUCUGAGCUCUGCGUGUGGCAAAGGCACCAAAGCCAGCGAGGAAAAUAAAAGCAGAAAACAAGACGAUCUUGUUGUAAGUAGGAGGCAUUGGCGUCCCGACCCACACAGCCCCUGACGGCGCAGAAGCCAGCAGGAAACGAACGGGAGCAAAAUGCAGUGAGGAGCCGAUGUCCUUGGUCGUCGCUCUCUGGGAGGAUCCGUAAGUCCCCGCUCCGAGAGGCAGAUGCAAAGCCUGUGUCAGCUCCGGGAAUAUGAGGGGCAGCAUGGCAGCUGGAGCCCGUGUGGGAGUUUGGGCCUGGGAAGCGGAGUGCGGCGUGGGGACAAAGACUCAACCACCUGGCCGGAGCACCUCUGUGGGCGUGGGGUGACAGCGACAUUGCUCCGAGACUGUCCCCACAGCUUCCUGUUCUCUCCGACUUGGGGGUGUAAAAGCUGAAGCUACACACCCAGCCCUCGGUUAUAAGGAAAAUCCUGUUGCUCUGAAAGAUAAUCACGUCUCAUCCUGCUUCCGUGACCCGUGCACAUACCUGUGCGGGGAAGAACCUUACUCUGUCAUGAGUUUCCACGUGGGAAUUUGCGUGAGAUCUGUGUAGAAAUACCACCCAGUGCAAAGGAGAGAGCCAGGGACAGGUGCAUUUGAAGAACAUGUGCCAGUGAAUUUGCUCAAAUAUUUCUUCAGGAAUAAAAAAACAGAAGCAAAAACCAAUCACCUCUCUAAAGGAAGCCCAAAGUAGAAAAAUGACCUUGUAGAGGCAAUAGUGAGUCAACAGAAGGAUUGAAAAAUAACAGGCCUGGGGGUGCCCGGCUGGCUCAGUCCGUGGAGCAUGUGACUCCUGAUCUCAGGGUUGUGAGUUCGAGCCCCCACUGGGUGUGGAAGUCACUUAAAAAUAAAAUAAUUCUAAAAUAUGUCAGACAAGCUCAGAAUGGGAGAAAAAUAGGUCAUCACAGCAGUAAAAUUGAAGCAUCGUAAGACAGCUUCCUAUGACAACAAGCGGCAUUCCCAGCGACUGUCCACCGAAGAGCGUAUCCUGCAAAACGCAAGAGGAGAUGGGCUGAAUGGCCUUCAAGCUCUUCAUGUCUCUUCAUUCAGAUCAGCUGGACACAGUAAUCCCGACCCCUAAAGGGACAGGGUCACCCAUGCAGUGUGACGUAUACCGAGAGGGGGUGCUACAAAUUUUCAAAUGCUCAGGGUGGUCGCAAUUAGAAAUGUCCACGAAUAUUAACUCACUAUAGAAUAAAUCUUAAUAUCCUAAACAAGAGAACAGCACCACAGGCAACAUUAACUUUCUUGAGUUGUUGCAAAUAAUAAUAAUAAUAAUACAAUAAAAACUGCUGCCCUCAA